rnacentral:rRNA from 1 species
GAUGAACGCUGGCGGCGUGCCUAAUACAUGCAAGUCGAGCGAAUCGGGGACGGGUUAGUUACCCAUGGAUUACCUCCUAUAAGACUGGGAUAACUUCGGGAAACCGGAGCUAAACCGGAUCCUUAUAGAUGGAUCCGCGCUGCAUUAGCUAGUUGGUAAGGGAACGGAUUACCAAGGCAACGAUGCAUAGCCGACCUGAGAGGGUGAUCGGCCACACUGGAACUGAGACACGGUCCAGAAGCAUACGGGAGGCAGCAGUAGGGAAUCUUCCGCAAUGGGCGAAAGCCUGACGGAGCAACGCCGCGUUAGUGAUGAAGGUCUUCGGAUCGUAAAACUCUGUUAUUAGGGAAGCGGUACCUAAUCAGAAAGCCACGGCUAACUCCGUGCCAGCAGCCGCGGUAAUAA